rnacentral:lncRNA from 1 species
AAACACUAAUAAUUGACUAAUUUAUAUUAAGAAGAAUGAAGAUCUUGCGACGUGUCCCUCAUUUUUUUUCCUUCUCAAUGUUCACUGUUGCUUCGCUCGCCGAUCCUCUCCAACUUCUACUUCGACUUUUUCAUUCUCGACCACCGCUUGGACGCUCCAUCUGCUUGUUCUCCCGUUCGAUUAUCGACCUGGUUUCCCCUGGCCUUCACAAUAGAAAUAAAAUAUAAUUACUAUCUGAAACAAUCGAAAUUUUACAUGUAAAAUCUUAAAUUUGAACUCUAAAAGAAGACAUAAUAAUUGUUUUUUACAAGGGAC